AUACGUAGGUGGCAAGCGUUGUCCGGAAUUAUUGGGCGUAAAGCGCGCGCAGGCGGUUCUUUAAGUCUGAUGUGAAAGCCCACGGCUCAACCGGGGAGGGUCAUUGGAAACUGGGGAACUUGAGUACAGAAGAGGAAAGUGGAAUUCCACGUGUAGCGGUGAAAUGCGUAGAGAUGUGGAGGAACACCAGUGGCGAAGGCGACUUUCUGGUCUGUAACUGACGCUGAGGCGCGAAAGCGUGGGGAGCGAACAGGAUUAGAUACCCUGGUAGUCCACGCCGUAAACGAUGAGUGCUAAGUGUUGGAGGGUUUCCGCCCUUCAGUGCUGCAGCUAACGCAUUAAGCACUCCGCCUGGGGAGUACGGUCGCAAGACUGAA
rnacentral:rRNA from 1 species